rnacentral:lncRNA from 1 species
GAACAUUAUGGGAUAUUGAAUAUAAGGCAUUCGUGUAGAGUAAGAAAAGGAGAGGUUAUAAAGCAAUUUAACUAAAUUGGAUUCUCUUUUCUCUGCUAAGGCAUUACUACUCCUCCCUGCACUCUCCUUUCCAAUUCGGCACCCUCACUCUCUCUUUUCUCCUCAAGGUUCCUUCUCUGUCCAGCCAUAUUGCCGAAUCCCUCCUCCCUUAUUACAACUUCAUGUAGUUCAUGUACAGUAAGCAUUAAAGCCAAGACAGGAUUACUAAAGUAAUACAACUGAGUAGUAAGGUAAUUCAAUUUACAUGUUCUAUGGCUUGUGUUUAUGGAGUUAACUAAUAGUAAGAUAAUUAGCAAUUUGUUUGGGGAUAAUUAGUUUCGGUAAAAUAAUUGAUUUUUUUUAUCAACUGAAAUUGGGUAUAUGAAAGCAUGGUUAACCGGGUUGUGUAUGGGAAUCAUAUCAAUUCAUAUUACAUACAUUUAAAAUCAAGAAAUAAAAGCUUAAAGGUUAGUAAGGUAUAGAUAGUAUGCAAAUUUGUUGAUUUCUCAUAUAUAUAGCUGUGUAUGGAACUGUUAUUGACUAAGAUAGAGCAAAGGAGGUAGGUUGGUUGUGCGGAGAUAUAAGGGAGUUAAAAUAGGAUGAUAGCACAAAUAAAUGGCUGUGAAAUGAGUGUUCAAAAACAGCGCACACCACUUGUUCGAUAAAAGUCCUCUAUGGACUGUUUUGGUUAAAAACUAAGAAUUAAGUAAAGUUGAGGCCAAAGUUAUAUAUAUAUAUAUAUAUAUAUACACUAUAUGUAGAUAUUUAAUAUGUAGAUAUUUAAAGGAUUUGAGCAAAUCAAAUUAGAACGAAAAGCAAUUUUAAGCCAAAACGAAAAAUUGAAAGAUAGUGUGUUGGGCCACUUUUGGGCUAACUGUUUCGGCUAGUUAGACUUGCUGGAAAAUUAUAAUUUUCUAGAUUCCUGUAGUAUGCAAUCCCAGCUAGCCAUAGUCUUUGGAACGGACUAAUUCUGAGUUCGGACAACUGAGUUAAGACUUGCCAAAGUGGGUACGCCAAAACUGCUCAAAUCUGGAAAACAGAUUCGAAGCAGUCCCCUUGCACGAAUUUUCUGGAAUUCUAUGUUUUGAAUUUGGAAAUGUCAAAGAAUGAAAGUUGUAGCCUCGGAAGUUAGCUUCGCGUGGGCUCAAGAAUCGGUCAAAAAUGUUUUGAAACGAAUUAGUUAUGACUGUUUUAGCGCAAGAAGGUAAAGCUGGGAAAAAGUUAAAAACUGUUAUGAUUGAGCAUUUUUAAGGCCUGUUUUGGAAUGUUUAUAAAACCCAAAAUGGGUGGUUUGUAUUUUCUUAAAAUAUUCUUCUAUGGUGACUAUAAUAUAUUAAAAUUUGGUAGCAAUCGGACUUGUGAGCAAAGAAUUAGAAAAUGACAAAGUAGCCGCGAAGCAUAGGAGUGUGCUGCCCAUAAGCAGCGGCAACAGCAGCAAGAAAGCUGCUACCUGCUGCCCUUUUAGAGCUUGCUUCUGACUCGCUUAGAAUGUCCAAAAUGUAUGGAUAGUAUUUUUUAAAAAUAGGUGGACAUACCACCUAUAACAUAUCCAAAAUUGGUCAGAAUCGCACAGGCGAAAUGGAAACUAAAAAUACGCGAAGUAGGGUGUCAGAACAUGUUCGCUGGCUGCUCAGACCAAGCCCUCCUGGGCCAAGCCAAGGGCAGCUGGGCCCAGUCUAACACGGCGACACGGUUUUCAAAACGAAAUGCAAUAUUUGAUGUCAUGAAAUGUAUUUCAAUGUACGGACGCGGAUUUCAAGGUUUUUGAUAGUUGAGUGUAUCCCGAAGCACCAAGAUGGAUAUGAAAUGCAGUCUAGCACCCAUAUGACGCGUAUAUUCGUUCCUAUUAUACUAGAAGCUAUGAAAAUAAUAUGUAAACAUAGGUUUACAUAUAUAAGGAUAAAUCAUCCGUAUAUUGGGAAUACGUAAAUAAUCAUCCGUAUAUUGGGAAUAUGUAAAUAAUGUGAAAGAGCUAUCAUAAAAGCUAAACCCCAGAAAUAAAUAGUUUUUGAAAUGCAAAGCAAGAAUUGCGCAUAUGGAGUUGAAAACUCAUUAUUGGUAUAUAUAAGCUAUGUAAAUACAUAAAAUAUACAAAUAACUUAUAUUUACAUACGAGCUAAGCAAGCAAGGCAUGAAUUUGCAUUACGGUUAAGGUAUAUAUGCAAAAGCAUAUAUAUACUUUACGUAUACAUUAAAAGUGAAAAGUACUGUUGUAUAAACACGUUAAGCAUUGAAAGAUAUUAUACAUGUAAAAUGGAGUCUAAGUUACUCACGAAAGCAAAGUUAAGCUACAAACACAAAGAAAGUCACGGAUGCACUAUGUAACUUUAAGUUUACAUAUAGAUGCAUAUUAAGCCUAUAAAUGCAAUGUAAAAAGUUUAUAAACUGUAAAUGUAGUGAAUUGACAUUUUAAAAGCCGUGUUGGAACUUUUUGAGAAUGUAUAACUAUAUUAAGCCGAAACCUAAAAUAUUCAAGAGGAAUAUGGAGGUUUCUUGGAAAUAAGAAUAUCAGAUAUUGAUAUAGUUUAUGUGAAUAUUUACUAACCAUACAGGUUAUGGGAUAUGAAUGUGUGACUAAUGUAUGCAUACAUGUGAGCAUAACUGUGUAGGAUUCGUGAAGUGAAGUUAAGCUAAAGUUUGUAUCAAUGGUCAUUGAAUGAGGCAAGUUUUUCAGUUCUAUUAUGUUUGUGGAUUAAAUGUGAUUAUGUGGUGAGUUACAUACCAUGCUUUAUGAAUUGUUAAAGUCAAAAUAUGACUAGUUAAUUGGGUUAUGGAACUCAAUUUAUAUGUGAUAUGUGAUAGCACAUGCUGUAUGAUGUAACUCGAUAAAUUAGAAAUGUAUAAUGCAUAAAUGUAUAUUUUGUAAGAAAUUAUUGAUGCAUGCGGAUAUGCAUAGUAAAGGAAAUAUAAUGCAUAUGGAAUUGUGUGCGAUGUGAAACAUGAUAGACUGUUAAAUUUGCUAGGCUGUCGAGCUCAAUCUUGCAAACACAAAUUUUUUGCAGGUUAAUCAUGUUUAGCAAUAUUACUUGCUAUACGGAUGAUGAAGAUUGAACGAUGUGCAAAAUGAAUACAUUUUCUUGAAUUAGAAAUUGUAUAAAUCUAUGAUUGAUAGUUUUGUUAAAUGUAAUUGGCAGUUAUGUAUAGUUUGAAAUAUUGAAUGGAUAAAGAAUUUUUAUUCUGAAAUGAGAAUAAAUAUUAUUGUAAAACAAGUGAAUUAUCGAUAGAAAAGA